GAUGAACGCUGGCGGCGUGCCUAAUAUAUGCAAGUCGAGCGAACAGAUGAGGAGCUUGCUCCUCUGACGUUAGCGGCGGACGGGUGAGUAACACGUGGAUAACCUACCUAUAAGACUGGGAUAACUUCGGGAAACCGGAGCUAAUACCGGAUAAUAUAUUGAACCGCAUGGUUCAAUAGUGAAAGACGGUUUUGCUGUCACUUAUAGAUGGAUCCGCGCCGCAUUAGCUAGUUGGUAAGGUAACGGCUUACCAAGGCAACGAUGCGUAGCCGACCUGAGAGGGUGAUCGGCCACACUGGAACUGAGACACGGUCCAGACUCCUACGGGAGGCAGCAGUAGGGAAUCUUCCGCAAUGGGCGAAAGCCUGACGGAGCAACGCCGCGUGAGUGAUGAAGGUCUUCGGAUCGUAAAACUCUGUUAUUAGGGAAGAACAAAUGUGUAAGUAACUAUGCACGUCUUGACGGUACCCAAUCAGAAAGCCACGGCUAACUACGUG
rnacentral:rRNA from 1 species